CUUACUUCAGUUGAAGGUUUUUUCUUUCGCGGAGUGAUCAAUCAAUCGGAAUGAGUUCUAAAAAAUCGAAGUGUUUGCAAUUAAAAGAAAAAGCAGACAUUUUAGACAGUCUGAAAAAAGGAACAAGUGUGACUAACUUAGCAAAAAAAUAUAAUGUCACUAAGUCAACAAUAUGCAGUAUUAAAAAGAAAAAAGAAGCCAUUUUAAAAUGCGUGAAUAAUACAUACCAAGGACCGGGAAAAAGAAAAACUUUAAAAUCGUCAGAGCUUCCAGCUAUGGAAAAAAGUCUAUACCUUUGGUUCAUUCGGAUGCGCGGAAGGAAUUGUCCUGUAAGCGGAUUAAUGCUAAAAGAAAAGGCUAAAGAAUUGCAUUCCUUACUUAAAGAAAACUCGACCGGAUUCAAUGCUAGUGACGGAUGGCUCCAGAGAUUUAAGAAAAGAUACGGAGUUAGAUUGCUUAAAGUAUCUGGAGAAAAACUCUCAUCGCAGCCUCAAUUGGUUGAUCCAUUUAAACUGAGACUAAAACAAAAAAUUGAGGAAAUGGAGUUAUGUAAUGACCAAUUGUAUAAUGCUGACGAAUCUGGUUUAUUCUGGAAGCUUUUGCCAGCUUAAACUUUUAGUAAUUGGUAAGGCAAAAAAUCCACGCAGCUUUAAACACUUUAGUUGCCCUACGGAUUAUAAGAACUCGAAAUCAGCCUGGAUGACGUCUGCCAUUUUUAAACAUUGGUUCCAUCAAUCUUUUGUGCCACAGGUAAGAUUGUUUCUAAAGCGGAAGAACUUACCAAUAAAGGCACUAUUACUUAUUGACAACGCUCCCUCUCAUCCAAGUGAAGCAGAAUUAAAAA